rnacentral:rRNA from 1 species
CGUUUAAUUGAUCUUGAUUAUCCUACUCGGAUAACUGUGGCAAUUCUAGAGCUAAUACACGCAAGAAAGCUCGGACCUUUCGGGAAGAGCGCAUUUAUUAGACCAAAACCAAUCGAGCUUCGGCCUGAACGUUGGUGACUCUGAAUAACUAAGCUGAUCGCAUGGUCUUAGUACCGGCGACGCAUCUUUCAAAUGUCUGCCUUAUCAACUUUCGAUGGUAGUUUAUGUGCCUACCAUGGUUGUUACGGGUAACGGAGAAUAAGGGUUCGACUCCGGAGAGGGAGCCUGAGAAACGGCUACCACAUCCAAGGAAGGCAGCAGGCGCGCAAAUUACCCAAGGCCACACGAGGAGGUAGUGNCGAAAAANNNCCCCUAUAAUGGGNAAGAGGCCUGNCCAUC